rnacentral:rRNA from 1 species
UACGUAGGGGGCAAGCGUUAUCCGGAUUUACUGGGUGUAAAGGGAGCGUAGGUGGCAAGGCAAGUCAGAUGUGAAAACCCGGGGCCCAACCCCCGGACUGCUUUGGAAACUGUAUGGCUGGAGUGCAGGAGAGGUAAGUGGAAUUCCUAGUGUAGCGGUGAAAUGCAUAGAUAUAACUUAGAACACCGAUAGCGAAGGCAGCUUACCAGACUGAGUCUGACGCUGAUGCACGAGAGCAUGGGUAGCGAACAGG